rnacentral:tRNA from 1 species
GGUGCCCUUAUGGUGUAAUGGUUAGCACUCUGGACUUUGAAUCCAGCGAUCCGGGUUCAAAUCCCGGUAGGACCU